GUUUGAUGAAAUAUAACCAGGUAUGUUAUCGACUGCGCACAAGAGAUGUGGAAGGAAGUUUAGUACGAUCAUUGUAACAGUUCGACUACGUAGUCAGUUUAGUCUUCAUUAGAUCGGUUGUCAACAUGUUGUUGUUGCUUCUCCUACUGGCAUCCACACAGGGUAACUGCCAGGUUCAGCAUGUGUCGGGUCAGGUGAAAAAUGGCUCAUGCGCAUGUGAGGUGAACACCAACGUGUGGUUAUUCCCUGCUAAGAAGUAUGAGGCCACACUGCAACAAGUUGAAUCUUGCGAGGAUUCACUUCAAAAGCUACAAGAACAGGUGCAUCUGUCAAACCAGCGUCUCCCUGAGUUACAUGCGGUGCUUGAUAACAUAACUGGACGGUUGGAGCCUUACCAGUACUUGAAUUAUAAGACCUUUUCUGCCUUACGGCUGCGUCAGCUGGAUGAAGAACUCGACAAGCUGGAGGAUAAUAUUAAUGCCAUGUCCCUUCAAGUGAACAACGUAGAUUCAACAAAACUCUCAAAAGAGGUCCACAAACUGCGACAAGAUGUUGGCAAGAUGCAUAUGGCAAACUCGAUCAACAUGAAGACUGUAAAAGAGAGACUCCGCUACCUGAAAAACAGUGUUGAGUCAUGCUUGUCGAUUCCAAAAGAUUUCAGAGGUCAGCAAAGGUAUUGCCUUAGAGGUCUAAUGACCAACAUCAGUGCACCGGUCAUAACAAAAGUCAGUCCAUAUGGUAAAACCAUCAUCUCUGGCUCAUGGGGUCAACAAGCCCUCGCGGACAACGAAGACCAGCAAAACAUCUUCUGGAUUCAGCCUAUGCUCCACGGCGACACCUCAGGCAAUAUCCUGAGAACCUACCAAUCUUAUGAAGACUUCAUGGCCUCUACUAACCACGAAGAUGUUACCAUAGCUCCAUCCAACACCGACGUUAAUACAGUCGAAGGCCCCAGUGCCGUCGUGUAUGGAGAGGCUCUGUACUAUCACUGUUACAACUCUCCAGAUGUCUGUCGCUAUGAUCUGAACAGCAAGACUGUCACAAGGGUCGAACUUCCCGGAAUUGGGAAGGACUCCAGAAAGUUCCCUUAUUGUUACUUUGACUGUCGGCCUCAUAGUGAUGUGGACGUGGAGGUAGAUGAAAGCGGACUAUGGGUCAUCUAUGCCACAGUAGGUAGCCACGGUAAUCUUGUGGUAAGUAAACUAUCAUGGGAUGGUGAAGCUGAAACGCUCAAUAUCACACAGACGUGGGAAACGAGGCUGUUCAAGAAGGCGGCAACCAAUGCUUUCAUGAGCUGUGGUGUGUUGUACGCGACUCGUUUUUAUGAUGAUUUCUAUGAAGAGAUCUUUUAUGCUUUCGAUACAGCAACAGGCAAAGAGGACAACACACUUGCGCUUCGGAUGGAGAAAAUCAUGAAGGGAGUUGCCAGUCUGAGUUAUAACCCAAUCAACAGGCAGCUCUACAUGUUUAACGAUGGAUAUCUUCUCACUUACCAAGCCCACUACUAAAAUUCAAUAUAAACCUAAAAUAGGACGACAGCAGAAUGCACAUGAAACAUAUUGAACAUCAAAGUGGCAAGCUUUUGUUUCUGUUACUGAAUAUUCCUAAUUUAGUGAAACAGCAUCAUACUCAGCGAAUCAAUCCCUAAUUUAACAUGACAUAACAAUAUAUAUCACCAACACAAUGUUAAAUGUUUCUCGAUUUAACUGACACAUUAACUAGAUUUGUUUUUUCUUUCGGGCUUAUCCUUUGUUCUUUCUCUCCAUUAGUAUUGCUGUCCGCUAGUUAAUUCACAAAAUUUAGCCUCUUUCUGUUCCCUCGUUUUCAAGAUAUUAACAAAAUAAAUGUGUCCAAGAGAUUUACAA